rnacentral:rRNA from 1 species
AGAGUUUGAUCCUGGCUCAGGAUGAACGCUGGCGAGAUGCUUUACACAUGCAAGUCGUACGAGAGUUUUAAACUCAAGUGGCGGACGGGUGAGUAACACGUAAGAAUUUGCCUCUAGGAGGGGGACAACAACUGGAAACGGUUGCUAAUACCCCAUAUGCUUUCGAGUGAAACGGAUUUUUCCGCCUAGAGAGAAGCUUGCGGCUGAUUAGCUUGUUGGUGAGGUAAUGGCUUACCAAGGCGACGAUCAGUAUCUGGUUUGAGAGGACGAUCAGACACACUGGAACUGAGACACGGUCCAGACUCCUACGGGAGGCAGCAGUGGGGAAUUUUCCGCAAUGGGCGAAAGCCUGACGGAGCAAUCUCGCGUGAGGGAUGACUGCCUAUGGGUUGUAAACCUCUUUUUUCAGGGAGGAAUCAAUGACGUGUACCUGAAGAAUAAGCAUCGGCUAACUCCGUGCCAGCAGCCGCGGUAAGACGGAGGAUGCAAGUGUUAUCCGGAAUCACUGGGCGUAAAGCGUCUGUAGGUGGUUUAAUAAGUCAACUGUUAAAUCUUGAAGCUCAACUUCAAAAUCGCAGUCGAAACUAUUAGACUAGAGUAUAGUAGGGGUAAAGGGAAUUUCCAGUGGAGCGGUGAAAUGCGUAGAGAUUGGAAAGAACACCGAUGGCGAAGGCACUUUACUGGGCUAUUACUGACACUCAGAGACGAAAGCUAGGGUAGCAAAUGGGAUUAGAUACCCCAGUAGUCCUAGCCGUAAACAAUGGAUACUAGAUGUUGAACAGAUCGACCUGUGCAGUAUCAAAGCUAACGCGUUAAGUAUCCCGCCUGGGAAGUAUGCUCGCAAGAGUGAAACUCAAAGGAAUUGACGG